rnacentral:rRNA from 1 species
UCGGGAAUUUUGGGCAAUGGGCGAAAGCCUGACCCAGCAACGCCGCGUGAGGGAUGAAGUAUUUCGGUAUGUAAACCUCGAAAGAAUGGGAAGAAUAAAUGACGGUACCAUUUAUAAGCUCCGGCUAACUACGUGCCAGUAGCCGCGGUAAUACAUAGGGAGCAAGCGUUGUUCGGAUUUACUGGGCGUAAAGGGCGCGUAGGCGGCGCGGUAAGUCACUUGUGAAAUCUCUGAGCUUAACUCAGAACGGCCAAGUGAUACUGCUGUGCUAGAGUGCGGAAGAGGCAACCGGAAUUCUUGGUGUAGCGGUGAAAUGCGUAGAUAUCAAGAGGAACACCUGAGGCCAAGGCGGGUUGCUGGGCCGACACUGACGCUGAUGCGCGAAAGCCAG